rnacentral:tRNA from 1 species
GGGGAGGUGGCUGAGCGGCUGAAAGCGCCAGAUUGCUAAUCUGGUGUAGGGGCAUGACCUCUACCGAGGGUUCGAAUCCCUCCCUCUCCG